AACAAGGUUUCCGUAGGUGAACCUGCGGAAGGAUCAUUACCGAAUUGUCAACAAGAGUUGUUGCUGGUCCCUCGAACAGGGGGGCAUGUGCACGCUCUGUUCACACAUCCACUCACACCCUGUGCACCCUCUGUAGUUCUACGGUCGGGGGGACCUGUCCUCCUGCUGUGGUUCUGCUUUUCUUUACACACACGCUGUAACAAAGUCUCAUGGAAUGCAUGCCGCGUUUAACGCAAUACAAUACAACUUUCAGCAACGGAUCUCUUGGCUCUCGCAUCGAUGAAGAACGCAGCGAAAUGCGAUAAGUAAUGUGAAUUGCAGAAUUCAGUGAAUCAUCGAAUCUUUGAACGCACCUUGCGCCCUUUGGCCAUUCCGAAGGGCAUGCCUGUUUGAGUAUCAUGAACACCUCAACUCUUCAUGGUUUUCUAUGAUGAGCUUGGACUUUGGGGGGUUUUUGCUGGCCCUAUGGUCGGCUCCUCUAAAAUGAAUCAGCUUGCCAGUGUUUGGUGGGCAUCACAGGUGUGAUAAACUAUCUACGCUUGUGGUUUUCCACCAGGUAACCUUCAGCAGUGGAGGUUCACUGGAGCUUACAGAUGUCUCUCUUCGAUGAGGACAGCCCUUUGAAUGUUUGAUCUCAAAUCAGGUAGGACUACCCGCUGAACUUAAGCAUAUCAAUAAGCGGAGGAAAAGAAACUAACAAGGAUUCCCCUAGUAACUGCGAGUGAAGCGGGAAGAGCUCAAAUUUAAAAUCUGGCGUGCCUCUGGUCGUCCGAG
rnacentral:rRNA from 1 species